UCCAGAAUCAUAUGCUUGUCCCGAGGACUAAGCCAUGCAUGCCUCUGACCGAAGGGACGACCGGGGUGUGUACGGAUAUAAUCCUGGAUAACCCCGGCCGGCCGAUAACUCAGCGAACGGCUCCGUAUAUCUGUUGUAACCUAUCGCGGUAAGUUUGACGUGGAUAUAGCACGGAAAAGCUGUGUAGAAAACAAAGAAGCCGGGGUGUUUCCCGGGCGCAUGACACCCGCCCGGGUUCAACGGGGGAAGCGGGCCUAACCCUAGUAUCCCAAUUCUCCCUCCCUGCGACCUCACCAAGUAGGCCGGCAAAAAGUUACGGCUGAAACUGAGGCCUCUUCUUCGGGCUAAUCCCCAGCCCCCGAUGGGGGUCGGUUUAGAUUACCACUAACAAAGCAGCGAAGAGACUAACCACGAGCGCGCGAUGGGCUUCAGACCUAUCAGCUAGAUGGUAGGGUAUUGGCCUACCAUGGCUAUGACGGGUACAGAGGAUUAGGGUUUGAUCCUGGAGAGGUAGCCUGAGAAAUCGCUCCCACUUCUAAGGAAGGCAGCAGGCGCGUAACGUUCCCAAUGCUAAUCCCAGUGAGGACGUGAAGGGACAUAACAAUGCCCCCCGCGAAGGGCGGGCAAUGACAAUGGGCGGGA
rnacentral:rRNA from 1 species